GGAGUCUGGGCCGUGUCUCAGUCCCAAUGUGGCCGAUCAACCUCUCAGUUCGGCUACUGAUCGUCGACUUGGUGGGCCGUUACCUCACCAACUAUCUAAUCAGACGCGGGUCCAUCUUUCACCGGAUUGCUCCUUUGACCUCUUGAGGAUGCCCUCCUGUGGUCUUAUGCGGUAUUAGCACAAGUUUCCCUGUGUUAUCCCCCUGUGAAAGGCAGGUUACCCACGCGUUACUCACCCGUCCGCCACUAAGUCUUCUCGGUGAAUUGCUCCGGAAGCAAGCUUCCCUCACUCUUCGGUGAGAAGGCUCCGUUCGACUUGCAUGUGUUAGGCACGCCGCCAAACGUUCGUCCUGAGCCAUGAUCAAACUACU
rnacentral:rRNA from 1 species